CGACCUGUGGUGCAAUGGUGAGCAUGCUCACCUCGGAAGCGAGAGGACCCGGGUUCGAUCCCCGGGUAGGGUGA